rnacentral:rRNA from 1 species
AUUGAACGCUGGCGGCAUGCUUUACACAUGCAAGUCGAACGGUAACAGGCCGCAAGGUGCUGACGAGUGGCGAACGGGUGAGUAAUGCAUCGGAACGUGCCCAGUCGUGGGGGAUAACUACUCGAAAGAGUGGCUAAUACCGCAUACGAUCUAUGGAUGAAAGCGGGGGACCGUAAGGCCUCGCGCGAUUGGAGCGGCCGAUGUCAGAUUAGGUAGUUGGUGGGGUAAAGGCUCACCAAGCCAACGAUCUGUAGCUGGUCUGAGAGGACGACCAGCCACACUGGGACUGAGACACGGCCCAGACUCCUACGGGAGGCAGCAGUGGGGAAUUUUGGACAAUGGGCGCAAGCCUGAUCCAGCAAUGCCGCGUGCAGGAAGAAGGCCUUCGGGUUGUAAACUGCUUUUGUACGGAACGAAACGGCUCUGGUUAAUACCCGGGGCUAAUGACGGUACCGGAAGAAUAAGCACCGGCUAACUACGUG